AUAACAAACUAUGUCUCUUUAAUUAUUUAAAGGAUCACUUACAAUUAAAGUUUAUAAUCACAAGAAAUUAUUCAAGCCACAAAAAAACUACUGGAAGUAGAUAAAUUGAUUGAUAGUAAAAAAAGAAAUUAUUUUUUCAAACAAUAUGGAAACAAAAGUUCCAAAAUUUAAAAUCACUAGUCUUAAACAAAUCUUUCAGAAUCAUGUACAAUCUUAUUUCUGUACAUUAGAAACUGGGAAUUCCAGUUUUGGAGGUAGAAAAAAAAAAAAAAGAAAACAUUAACAUUUUUAUUUUUCUCACUUUUAAAAAAAAGCAAGAAUCUAAGUCUCCUUUAUUUAAAUUCCCACAUUAUGUGCCAUUAUUGGUGCACACAAAUUUAUAAAAAAAAACAAAUAGCUCUUAUAAUAUAUAUAUAUUAUUAUUAUCGUUAGAGAGAGUGUUUUUAAUAUACACAGACUUUAAGCUAAAUGUGUAAUUUACAAAUGUUGAAAGACUUCAGUUUUAUUUUUUUCUCAACAAAAACUUAAGUAUUAAUUUCUAAACCAUUUCUUAGUUUAUAAUUUGCAUACAUUAUUUUAGAAUUCUAUUUAUACCAGUACCGAAAACAAACAUCACAAUGUUCUCUAUAAUCCUCUAUGUCAUGUUUAAAAAGAUGCAGACAUUUGCUUUAAAGAUAUCAGUCAAGGUUUUUAAAAGUGCCCUGUUGAGGGGACAGUAUUCAAACUUAUCAAUAAAAAUAUAUAUCUAUAUCACUGGACUUGCAGAUAAGAUCUCAUUAUAUUAUAAUUCAUGGGAUAAGAUGAUGCCCUAAAUAAAUAGUUGGAGCUAGAAAAUGUAAACAGUAUCACUGUAAAAUCUGUGUAAAAUUAGAAAAUAGUUUCUUGAGUACACUUUGUAGAUGUAUAUCUAGCUUGAGACCACAGACAAAAUAGGAAUCAAAACUAAAUGCAGGUGCCAACAUUACAGGUAAUGUACUAACAUGUCUAUUUCAAAAGAAGACACCACUACCUUUGGCAGGAUAUGGCCACAUUGUUCAUGAAAUUGUAUCUCUUGAUUUGUAGAGAUCUUCAAAGCA